rnacentral:lncRNA from 1 species
CUCUUCUCUACUUGGAUGUCAUGGAGAAGUUAAAGAGGAGGAGUCUGCCCUCAUGUUCUCUUUAGUUUCCCAUUAGAGCAGGUCUGUAGGGUAUGGCUGCCUUCUGAUGCUUCUCUGUUUGUUGUACUCUGCUUUCCUGUACCUCUGCACCGGACAGAACUUUUAUGAAUCAACAAGAUGAUGCUUUCCACAGAGACCUCUCCCCUUCAGGAUAAAAUGAGCCUUUGCUUCCAACAACCAGAGGAGACGAUUGGGAUUUAGGAGAGAAAAUAUUUCCUGUUUCCCAAAGGGAACUAGAUUUGCUGGCUGUGAUAGUCACCUUCCUCUGCUGGUUGACUGCCUGUCAU